GGGCCCGCACAAGCGGUGGAACAUGUGGUUUAAUUCGUCACUACGCGAGGAACCUUACCUGGAUUUGACAUAUACCUGACCGUGGUAGAGAUAUCACUUUUAGAGUUUACUCUAACGAGUAUACAGGUGCUGCAUGGCUGUCGUCAGCUCGUGUCGUGAGAUGUUGGGUUAAGUCCUUUAACGAGCGCAACCCCUGUCGUUAGUUGCUAAUCUUCGGAUGCACUCUAACGAGACUGCCUUAGAAAUAAGGAGGAAGGUGGGGAUGACGUCAAGUCCUCAUGGCCCUUAUGUCCAGGGCUACACACGUGUUACAAUGGGAUGUACAAAGAGCAGCGAAACGGUGACGUGGAGCAAAUCUAAAAAGCAUCUCUAAGUUCGGAUUGUAGUCUGCAACUCGACUACAUGAAGUUGAAAUCGCUAGUAAUCGCGUAU
rnacentral:rRNA from 1 species